AUGCUCCCUCCACGCAUAACAAUGUGUUUUCAUAAAGGAUUUCUACGGAUCUACAUAUUUAUAGAAGAAUUCUAUCUCUAUGAAUUUGUAGAUUAAAAAAUCCUCUUAUUUAUUAGGGGAAAAAUUAGAAAAAUUCUUGAUGCAUCUAUAAACACCUUUUCUAUCAUUUCAGAUCAUGUUACACACUAAAAUUAAACUUACUAUAUACAAAUUAAUUUAGUUUGUGCAUAUAAAGAUGAUUCGGUAGUUGGUUUUGGCAAAGUCAAUUUUGUAAAAUGUUGAAUUUUGGGGGCUUCUGGCAAUUAUUUGAGAAAAUAGGGGCUAUAAGUAUAGGCUACUGCACUUAUUUGUUAUCAGCGUUUGAGAAAUACUUCAAAGAAAAUUUCUCGUCGGUCAAAAUGGCGGACAAAGAAACCCCACUGCCGUCUCCGUCGUCCGAAAUCACGCCGUCGCCGUCGUCCGAAAUCUCGUCCAAGCAGAUUCUUCUACUGUUCCAGUUGUUUCUUUUCCUUAUAUUACAUCAUAGUGAAAAUUUCCCUCAUUCAACUUCACGUUUCUAUUUUGCAGCCGUCGCCGUCGGCCGAAAUCUCGUUCACUGCUAUGACGAGGUUUAAGGAAUCCAUGCCAUCUAAAGACAAGAUAAUUCUUGAUCAACCACUACCAAAUGCUCUUGGUGAACAGAAGCUGAAGGGGCAUUGAGAAAUCGUUUCGCCCGCUCAAUGGAGACGCAGAUUGAACAGGGCAUAAGUGCGCGCUAGAGAAGAUAAAACCCGAUGCUCUUGUUGCCGUUGCUGCCAUGAAAAUUUGUCCCGGUGAUGUUGCUGCCAAUCUUAAUGGUCAGAGCUCAACUGCUGCAGCCAAGAAAGAAGGUCCGACGACAGAAGGUCCGACCUCAACCAUUGUCGAUUGCACCAAAAAUGAUGAGGUGACUGAUGAGGAGAAGGACGAGGAGGGUGAUCGGGUGGCUAGGGAGUUAAUUGCAUCUAAGGAAGAGGCGGUAAAUGCACUGUUCGACCUGGUGGAGAAAUGGGUGGCUUUUCACCUCCACAAGACCACUCCGGCUAUGGGAAUGGCCUACCGUGCUGCAGGACUCGUCCUCAUCACAAUUCUGGCGAUGCUUGUGCUUACCCACAAGAAUAAUGGGUAAGCUGGCUUGGGAGUGAGUGGUAGGCUACAUAAUUAACACUAGAUUUGUUGAUUGUAGUUCUCAUUCAAACAACAAUUUUCAGUGAACUUUGUCACUUGUAAGUAAGUGUUACAUACUUCAUCUACACUUUUACAAGAAUGGUCUUUCCCAAUGACUUUCUCCAUUAUUAUUACAUAGCCAAGUUUUUUAUCACAAGAAUCAAAAUUUCAAAAACAACCCAAAAAUAAAUGAACAUUACUAAAUGCUAAGUUCUCCCCAUCAGGCGUCACCUUGAUUCUAGAAGUCGAGGUUUCAAACCUCAAAUCCACCCUCUACAAAUAAUCUGAAAUUCAAUCAGUAUGCUCUGUUUUAUAGAUUUAUGUUUAUUUUGCUUUUUCCUUAUUUUGUCUUUCAACAAAUCUGACUCACCUAUCCAGGAUUUUCAGAUGAAUUUAUUCUUGUGUCACUGAUGCAAAAGUAGUUAAUUUUCCAGAAAAUGAAGAUUGUGUUUCUUUUAAAGGGACAGUUAUGGCAGAACUUAGCAUUUAGUAAUGUUCAUUUAUUUUUGGGUUGUUUUUGAAAUUUUGAUUCUUGUGAUAAAAAACUUGGCUAUGUAAUAAUAAUGGAGAAAGUCAUUGGGAAAGACCAUUCUUGUAAAAGUGUAGAUGAAGUAUGUAACACUUACUUACAAGUGACAAAGUUCACUGAAAAUUGUUGUUUGAAUGAGAACUACAAUCAGCAAAUCUAGUGUUAAUUAUGUAGCCUACCACUCACUCCCAAGCCAGCUUACCCAUUAUUCUUGUGGGUACGCACAAGCAUCGCCAGAAUUGUGAUGAGGACGAGUCCUGCAGCACGGUAGGCCAUUCCCAUAGCCGGAGUGGUCUUGUGGAGGUGAAAAGCCACCCAUUUCUCCGCCUGGUUGAACAGUGCCUUUACCGCCUCUUCCUUAGAUGCAAUUAACUCCCUAGCCACCCGAUCACCCUCCUCGUCCUUCUCCUCAUCAGUCACCUCAUCAUUUUUGGUGCAAUCGACAAUGGUUGAGGUCGGACCUUCUUUCUUGGCUGCAGCAGUUGAGCUCUGACCAUUAAGAUUGGCAGCAAUAGCACCGGGACAAAUUUUCAUGGCAGCAACGGCAACAAGAGCAUCAGGUUUUAUCUUCUCUAGCGCGCACUUAUCCCCUGUUUAAUCUGCGUCUCCCUUUAAAAGAAACACAAUCUUCAUUUUCUGGAAAAUUAACUACUUUUGCAUCAGUGACACAAGAAUAAAUUCAUCUGAAAAUCCUGGAUAGGCACAAAGCUUGGCUGAACCGUUUGCUUAUGAGUCUAACAUAGAAAAGCAAAAGCAGGAAAAAUCAGUCUGAUGCGAGAAUAGAAUUACGGACUUUGGCAGCCCGACUUGUUGAAGCAGAGGAGAGCAAAAUGAUGAGAAGGUUGCUGAAGGUGCUAAGAAGGGACCAAAGAGGAAGAGAGGUCUCACCACUGAAGUUGUUAAGGAUGAGCUGUGUACUUUAUAUAUGUUUGAAGAUAACUUCAAAUUUUUGUAGAGUAAAUGAUGAUUGCUUGUGAAAUUAACUAGUAACCAUAAUAGAACUUAUGUCCCUACUCAAGUAUGUUGUGUCUUACUGUAUAUAAUUACAUAAAACAUGAAAACAGGGAUAAAAGGCAUAGAGAGGUUGGGUAUCAUAUGCUUUUGAGGCACUAGCUGACAUGAGUUCAUCAAUUCAGUUAUGUUUGUCCUCUUAUUUUAGGUAGUUGGCUGGUUUUUAUGGUAGUUUAUGGUACUACAAGAGGAGAAAUGGACAGUUUUGGCAGUGGAGAGAUUUCUUACAUAAUGUCACGGGUGUGUAAAAUCUGUUCAGUGGGUGUUGUAGGUUUAAUUUUUGUGGUAUAUUCUCUCUUCUCCAAUGUUAUCAGCACCCACCCUUUCUGUAGCAGUCACUCUUAUUGCUUCUCUGGUUUUCUUCCACGACAAGAUGAAUGCUGCGAAGAUAAUUGCUAUGUUGUUGGCGUUUUGCGGCUUUGCUUCUUACACAUAUAUCAGAACUGUCUUGAUGAUCUUGAGGCGAGGAAGAAUCAAAAUGAAUCUUGUGAUGCCAUCAACACAGAUAUUGCACAAGAUGAAAUAUGCCUCAAAUGAAAAUGAACCCACCAACCCAGACAGAAUAGAAGACAAUGGAAUUAGCCUCAGAUUAUGGAGGCGGACAGAGGAGCCAGGAAAGGAGCCGGUGGCAU